AAAUGCUUUCACUAAGACCUGGGAAACAGUGAUCCAUUUCACAAAAAAUCUUACAAAAAAAGUUUGUCAAAAUUCAUGAACAAUUCAGUAUACUUAAAAUUCCUGAAAUGAUGCAUCCAUAAUUUUUCUUAAAACACACUAGGUUAACACUUAAUAAUAUACUAUAACAAUGUGUGUGUAGAAAAAAAAAAAUUUGAAUAGAUCUUCACUUAAGUAUCCUAUUUUCAUAGAAGUGAACAAAAUGGUAUGUUUCCUCAACUUUUGGCAGAUCUGUUAAUUGUUGUGACAAAUGCUGAAAACGUUGCGGCAACAAUUAUCUAAAUUUUUAGGUAUGCAAUUACCUCAAAAAUUUACUUGGACAAUUAUGUGUUAUUUAGAAAAUAUGUACUAUCUGUUCAAUAUUUUGCAGUAAAUGUGCUUAUCAUAUCAAACCUGUCUUCUAACAGGGGGACAUUUAAACGGUUUUUUUUCUAAUUUACUGACAAACAGUUGCAAGUUUUUUUAACAGUUAGGUUUAAAAGCUAUAAAUAUCAAAAACUGAUUAAUGAACUUUAAACAUUUAAAACCAUCAAUAAUGAUAUCAUACCUUCUACUCUAUGGAAGAUCAAUUUUCUUUGGUAAUGACACUAUAAAAGAACUUGAUCGAUGUUCUUGUAUGUAAAAUGUGUUGAUGAAACAAAAUAAUUUUCAUCUUUAAUACAUAAUUAUUUAAAAAUAAUUUUGACAUUUCCUUACAGAGUUGAAUAACAUUUAUCACCAGAAUAAAAUAAAAUUGUAAAUGAUGGCUUUUUUGGCCAUUUUCUAAACUAAUCUGUUCACUUGUGCCAAAAUAUAUUAUUUUAAUCUAAAAACUAGACAAAGUUGAAAAUAUUUUGCUUCAUAAACCCAUUUUUAUACAAAGAAAAUUACAAACAACAAUUUUCAUAU
rnacentral:lncRNA from 1 species